CUCCCGAAACGGCAAACUCCGGGUAACCGGAUGUACGCAAAGCCACAGGUCCUUUUGAGUCAUCAUCAGGACAGCUGAGCUACCGAA
rnacentral:ncRNA from 1 species